CCCGCCACCACCAACGACCGCAGUCCGCCCCGCCACCACCAACGACCGCAGUCCGCCCCGCCACCACCAAUGACUGCAGUGUUCACACCUCCAGGAUGAUGCUCUUGACACUCAACAUCCAUCCAUACUGCUGUGUGCAUCAACAGUUUCUUUUUAUUUUUUUGGCUGGUUAAUGUUGCACUGGGUAUGUAUUCAUCUAUUUAAGAAAAUUUGGGUUGUUUCCAGUGUUUUGCAAUUAGAAACCUAUUUCCAGUUUCUCAAAAGUGUUGAAGGUGAGGACCUGGUGCCUGCACCCGACGUGGACUUGCUUCCUCACCUGUAAGCCAUGGCGGUGCAGCAGAUGAAAAUCUUCCUUUCAUGGCGGGGGUGGGGGGUCAUCUCGAGGACAUGUCGCACAAAGCAAGUGGAAAGAUGAUGUCUCCUAACCAGUCUUCCAUGAGAUGAUGCCAGCACUUAGCACAGAGACACAGGCAACCAGACCUGGACAAAUGAAAAUCACACUGGCGGGAGGCCAGUGUACAUGACGACUGAUGGAGAGAGAUGGAGUCCCUGUUUCCUGGGGCUUCAAAAACCCGAGGGCACCCUGGCCACACACUGUGGGAGCGCAGGAACAGGAGUGCGCUAUCCAGCGCGCCACAAUUUCUGGAGUCAGUGUCUUAGCUCAACAGAUGCCGUAUUAGGAACACACAUUACGGCUCCACUAUCUAGAUGAGGAUGCUGCGGCUGAAGGAGUUUCAGUGACCGUGCCAACCCACGCAGGGGCAGAGCGCUGGUGCUGCUCGGCUUGUAAACAGGUCAUUCCCAUCUCUCCCUCCGUCUUCACGUGGCCUUCUUCCUUCGGUGCCUCUGGGUCGCUGUGUCUAAACUAUGAGGACAUCAGUCACUGUAUGAGGAACCACCCUAAUCCAUAGAACCUCAUCAUAACUUGGUUGCAUCUGCAAAGACGUUUUUUCAAGUAAGGCUGCACUCACAGUUUGCAGGUGGGCAUGUGUGCUUGGGAAACAACGUCCAACGCAUUACAGUUUCCCAAGAAACAAAUUCUAUAUGAUCCACAGCAGAUUCCGGACUGGUUGCCAAGUCUUCUGAGCUUGAGUCUAAUUCUAACUAAUUUCACAUGAGAAAAGAAAUUGUGACAUCAACCCAUCACUGCUCAGACAUGAAACUUUCACUCCCAGCGUGGACAAUGUUUCCCUUUAAGGGAAACAGGACCCUUGACUUCGCUGGGCACUGCUGAUGGAAGAGGUUCGUUCAAGCGAUCCUGGACAGCAUCUUCCAUAUGGGAAGCACCUCCUUGACGAAAAUGAGAGAUGAAUAUGACUGCAAACCCAUGCAUUCCGGUCUUUGUUGUGUAAAUAAAC
rnacentral:lncRNA from 1 species